UGGCUUAGUGGUAGAGUGUUUGCCUUGCAUGCAUAAAGCCCUGGGUUCGAUUCCUCAG
rnacentral:tRNA from 1 species